rnacentral:lncRNA from 1 species
AGCAAGUCAUAUUAGAUUAAUUGAUCUAAUUGGUGUCUAGGAAAGCAUGAAAGGUGGUUACUUAAUUAGGACCUUACUCUCUGAGUAAAGGGAGCCUCCCACCUGCUUACCUGGCCAAUUGUUCGAUUACCUCUUAUGAAGAGCUCAAGUUGCAAACACUAAGACCUGAUUAACCGAUAUUAAGUCUAUAGGUCUUCCACCGUAGUAGAGCUGCUAAGGUCUUUCUGAUGUUGAUUUGUCUCGGCUGGACACAGUGGGCAAGUUGCAUCAGAGGGCUGGACCUCUCUAUAGACAUGAGAUGUUGUAG